rnacentral:rRNA from 1 species
UAUAAAAGUAAGUUUUUAUACUAAUUGAUUAAUAGUUAUGUUCUUUAAAGGUAAAUAAUUUGGCGGUAUUUUAGUCUUUUCAGAGGAACCUGUUUUGUAAGUGAUAGUCCACGGUUUUAUUGUCUUAAAUUAGAAAUUUAUAUAUCAUCGUUAUUAAGUAUUUUAAAAGAAAAUAAUAUUUAAAAUUUUUUAUUUAAAAAUAAUUCAGAUCAUGGUAUAGUUUAUAUUUAAGUUAUAAUGGGUUACAAUAAUAAAAAUUGUGGAUCUAAAAUUUUAAAUUUUAGAGAAAUUGGAUUUGAAAGUAAUUUAUUUUAUUAAUAAAAAUGAUUAAGCUCUAAAAUAUGC